UGAGUAACGCGUAAUCAACCUGCCCUUCAGAGGGGGACAACAGUUGGAAACGACUGCUAAUACCGCAUACGAUCUGACCUCGGCAUCGAGGAUAGAUGAAAGGUGGCCUCUACAUGUAAGCUAUCACUGAAGGAGGGGAUUGCGUCUGAUUAGCUAGUUGGAGGGGUAACGGCCCACCUAGGCGACGAUCCCUAGCUGGUCUGAGAGGAUGACCAGCCACACUGGAACUGAGACACGGUCCAGACUCCUACGGGAGGCAGCAGUGGGGAAUAUUGCACAAUGGGCGCAAGCCUGAUGCAGCCAUGCCGCGUGUAUGAAGAAGGCCUUCGGGUUGUAAAGUACUUUCAGCGGGGAGGAAGGGAUGUCUCUUAAUACGCGCCAACGUUGACCUUACCCGCAAAAGAAACACCCGCUAACUCCCUGGCCACAACCCCGGUAAUACCGAAGGUGCAAGCGUUAAUCCGAAUUACUGGGCGUAAAGCGCACGCAAGCCGUCUGGUAAAUCAUAUGUGAAAUCCCCGGGCUUAACCUGGGAACUGCAUUUGAAACUGGCAAGCUUGAGUCUCGUAGAGGGGGGUAGAAUUCCAAGUGUAGCGGUGAAAUGCGUAGAGAUCUGGAGGAAUACCGGUGGCGAAGGCGGCCCCCUGGACGAAGACUGACGCUCAGGUGCGAAAGCGUGGGGAGCAACAGGAUUAGAUAC
rnacentral:rRNA from 1 species